UGGGGAAUUUUGGACAAUGGGCGAAAGCCUGAUCCAGCAAUGCCGCGUGUGUGAAGAAGGCCUUCGGGUUGUAAAGCACUUUUGUCCGGAAAGAAAUGGCUCUGGUUAAUACCUGGGGUCGAUGACGGUACCGGAAGAAUAAGGACCGGCUAACUACGUGCCAGCAGCCGCGGUAAUACGUAGGGUCCAAGCGUUAAUCGGAAUUACUGGGCGUAAAGCGUGCGCAGGCGGUUGUGCAAGACCGAUGUGAAAUCCCCGAGCUUAACUUGGGAAUUGCAUUGGUGACUGCACGGCUAGAGUGUGUCAGAGGGGGGUUAGAAUUCCACGUGUAGCAGUGAAAUGCGUAGAGAUGUGGAGGAAUACCGAUGGGCGAAGGCAGCCCCCUGGGAUAACACUGACGCUCAUGCACGAAAGCGUGGGGAGCAAACAGGAUUAGAUACCCCUGGUAGUCCACGCCCUAAACGAUGUCAACUAGUUGUUGGGGAUUCAUUUCCUUAGUAACG
rnacentral:rRNA from 1 species